UGGGUUCAGAACGUCGUGAGACAGUUCGGUCUCUAUCCGCCGCGGGCGCAGGAGGCUUGAGAGGAUCUGAUCGAAGUACGAGAGGAGCCGGUUGGACGGACCUCUAGUGUGCGAGUUGUCGCGCCAGCGGCAUUGCUCGGUAGCUAUGUCCGGAUGGGAUAAGCGCUGAAAGCAUCUAAGUGCGAAGCCCACCUCAAGAUGAGGCCUCCCACUGGAUUAACCAGGUAAGACCCCAGCGAGAUGAGCUGGUUGAUAGGCGGCAUGUGUAAGCGGUGAGAGCCGUUGAGCAGAGCCGUACUAACGGUCGAGGGCUUAGAAUUU
rnacentral:rRNA from 1 species